UACGGAGGGGGGCGAGCGUUGUUCGGAAUCAUUGGGCGUAAAGGGCGCGUAGGCGGCCUGAUCAAGUCGGAUGUGAAAUCCCUCGGCUCAACCGAGGAACUGCACCCGAUACUGGUUGGCUAGAGUCCGGGAGGGGGUAGCGGAAUUCCCAGUGUAGCGGUGAAAUGCGUAGAUAUUGGGAAGAACACCGGUGGCGAAGGCGGCUACCUGGACCGGUACUGACGCUGAGGCGCGAAAAGCCAGGGGAGCGAAUGGG
rnacentral:rRNA from 1 species